AAAUUAUAUACAAUUACAAUUUCAAAUAUCACUCUUUCCUGGAGACAGCAGACCUGCAUUAUUAAUACACUUCUUAAAUUCAUACAAAGAAAUCUCUCCAUCAGUGAUACUAUCAUUGCUGCAGCUGACUUCCAGCACAUCAGAGUAUUCACUGAAAAACAUAUCCCUACAUUGUUUAAUUUCUUCACUUAAAUUAUCCUGAUUAUGAAUCUCAGCAAAUGACCCAGCCAGUAACACAACCUUCCCUGUUUCAGUAACAAUCAUUUUGCCCUCAAUAAUCAACACUGGAAUAUUAUGAUCCCCACAAAUCCCCCCAUUUUCUAAAUCAUAUCCCAAACAAUUCCAAGUUUGAUAUCCCUUCCAAUAUUAUCUCCAUAUAACCUCCAGUAAAUCACCUACUUCCUCACCACGGCCUUUGCCCUUUUAUUGUUGAUAAUGUCGCUCGGAGACUGAUGCACCAUCACAUAAAAACUCACAUUUCUCCCAAUUUGCUUCCUGUCCCGUUAUAAAUCCAAAUCCAAACUCAUAAAGACUGGAAGGCUGACUGACGUUCACAUAAACUAAUCACCCUCUGAGUUCCCACUUGAGCGACAGGCACUGCAGCCAAUGACAGCAGGGGUUAGUAUUAAGUUUGAGCUGCGAUAGGCUGAAGGAAAUCGGCCCAUGACCAGCCCCUCCUCUUCCGCUCCAUCGCCAUGCCGGAGAUCAGCGAGUCGCUUCUGUCGGUGUCGCCGGCCUCGGCGCCCACAAGGACGGGUGUGAUUCUCCUUCGCGCCUCGGUGGGUCUGUUUCGGUGACGUCGGUGGUGGCUGACGAAACAUGCUUUGACAGGGAGCGAGCGAGGACAAUGACCACAACUCCCACUGAUGACGUUGUGGUGGUGUUUUGGGCUUUCCCACCACAGAUGUAAGGCUCAAUGGUCUAUAAUUAUCGGGACUAUCCCUACUACCCUUUUUGAACAAGGGGACAACAUUCGCCUCCCUCCAAUACUCCGGUACAAUUUCCGUGGACAAUGAGGACAUAAUGAUCUUCGCCAGAGGCUCAGCAAUCUAUUUCCUUGCCUUGGAUGCAGAACUGGGAAGCGCAGAUGGAGUUCAACACAGAUAAAGAGGUUCAUUUCUGCAGGUCAAAUUUGAACAAAGAAUAUAAUAUUAAUGGUAAGACUCUUGGCAGUGUGGACGGUCAGAGAGAUCUUGGGGUCCAUGUCCAUGCGACACUCAAAGCUGCUGUGGAGGUUGGCAGUGUUGUUAGGAAGGGGUCUGGUGUGAUGCCCUUCAUCAACCGUGGGAUUGAGUUCAAGAGCUGUGAGGUGAUGUUGAAGCUAUAUUUCUCCAAACCUGUACAUAAGUAAUUGUACCCCAACACGGCAGGGCUAUGGGGUUAGUUGGACCCCACUUGGGAGUCCUGUGUUCAGUUCUGGUGGCCUCACUAAAGGAAGGAUGUGGGUACUAUAGAGAGUGUAGAGUAGAUUUACAAGGAUGUUGCUCUUGGAUUGGAGAGCAUGCCUUAUGAGAAUAGAUUGAGUGAACUUAGCCUUUCCUCCUUGGAGCGACGGAGGAUGAGAGGCUUUGACCAUGUGGAUAGCCAGAGGCAUUUUCCAAGGCUUGAAGUGCCUAACACGUGGGGACGUAGUUUUAGCUGCUUAGAAGUCGGUACUGAGGGAAUGUCAGGGGUAAGUUUCUUACACACAGAGUGGUGGGUGCGUGGAAUGCACUGCCGGCAGCGAUGGUGGAGGUGGAUACAACAGGAUAUUUUAAUAGACUCUUAGAUAGCGUCAUGGAGGUUAGAAACACAGAGGGCUAUAUGAUCGGGAAAUCCUAGGCAGCCUCUAGAGUAGGUUACAUGGUCGGUACAACAUUGUGGGCUGAAGAGCCUGUAAUGUGCUGUAGAUUUCUGUGUUCUGUGUCAAAGACAGGCAGAGGGAUUAGUUUAAAUGGACAGGAGGACAGCAUGAAAAGGUUGGGCCGAAAGGCCUGUGUUAGUGCCGUAAGUGACGGGUUCUGUCCCAACCAUCGACUCUAAUCCCCUCAACAGAUGCUGCCUGACAUGAUAACGUUCUUGAAAAGUUGCAUUCAGUUCCGCUUAGCACUCCGUACAAAGGUUGUUUUGUGCUGGAAGAGUGCAGAGGAGAUUCAUCAUGAUUGAGGGGGCUUCUGUUCAUAAGUCCAUAAGGCAUAGGAACAGAGUUAGGCCAUUCAGCCCAUUGAGUCAGCCACCUUUCCAUCAUGACUGAUCCCAGAUCGCACUCAAUUCCAGAUAUUUGACCUCCCGCCAUAUCCUUUGAUCCCCUGACCAAUCAGGAAACGAUCAACUUCCACCUUGAAUAUACCCACACACUCGGUCUCCACCGCAGUCUGUGGCAGAGCAUUCCACAGAUCCAAUACUCUUGGCUAAUUAAAAAAAUAAGCUGCUUACCUCUGUUUGAAAAGGUGGCCCCUUAACUUUGUGGCUGUGCCCCACCACAGGAAAUACCUUCUCCACAUCCACCUUAUCCAGUCCUUUCAACAUUCGGUAGGUUUCAAUGAGAUGCCCCGCAUUUUUCUGAGUUCCAGUGAGCACAGGGUCAAAGCUGCCAAGUGCUCCUCAUAUUUUAACCCCUUCAUUCCCUUAAUCAUCUUUCUGAACUUCCUCUGGACUCUGUCCAACACAUCAUGUCUGAGAUGUGGGGCCCAACACUGUUGACAAUACUGCAAGUGUGGCCUGACUAGAGUCUUAUAAAGCCUCAGCAUUAUCUCGUUGCUGUUAUAUUCAUGGGGCGAGAUUGGACUGUGUUGAUCUACAGGGGGAUCUUGGAAUCCGAGAUCAUAACUCCCAGAUAGUGGUUCCAUUGUCAGGCAGUUAUGUUGCAGUUGUAUAAAUCUCUAGUUUAUCCACAUCUGGAGAAUUGCAUUUGAAGACAGGAAUAAUGCGGAGGUUUUGGAUGGUGAGAGGGAGAGGCUUAACAGGAUGCUGCCUGGAUAAAGUGAGACCGGACAAUCUCGGGGAAUUUUCUCCGGAGUGGCAGAGGCUGAGGGAGGUCUGACAGACGUUUACAGGAAUGUGAGAGGCACAGACAGAGUGGGCAGCCGGGAUUUUUUCUCUAAGGAGGAAAUGUCCAAUGCCAG